rnacentral:rRNA from 1 species
GAUGAACGCUGGCGGUAUGCUUAACACAUGCAAGUCGAACGGACUCUUCGGCGUUCGUGUCGGACGGGUGUGUAACCCGUUGGAAUAUGGCUUUGUGUUCGGGACAACCACUGGACACGGUUGCUAAUACAGGAUGUGACGCGAGGUCUAAUAGAAAUUGCCUCAAGAUGGGGUCGCGUCUGAUUAGCUAGUUGGUAAGGUUAAGGCGCACCAAGGGAGCGAUCUGUCGGAGGUCUGAGAUGAUGACCAGCCACGACGGGGAUGAGAACCGGCCCAAGCACCGAGGGGAAGCAGGCGUGGGGAAUGAUCCGGAAGUGGCGAAAGCGUGACGGAGCAAUACCGCGUGAGGGAAUAAGGCCCUUGGGAUGGAAACCUCGUUACCUAGGGAAGAACGAAAUGACGGUACCUAAGGAAGCAGCACCGGCUAACUCCGUG